ensembl:lncRNA
UAUCUUGGUAGACGACCGAUUGCCUGCUAGUUUGUUAGCUCGACUUCACCAUCUGUGAAGGUAUCUCCAGGGGUCCUCCACAGUCGCCCCAUCAGUCCCUGGCAGUCUGGUCCCUGGAGCAGCUGGCCCUGGCAAAGUUAUUCCUUCACUGUUGACCCCUGACUGACUGGCCCUCGGCAAGCACAUCCCUGGAUCACCUGCCCCUGGAUCGCCUGCCCCUGAAUCGCCUGCCCCUGGAUCGCCUGCCCCUGGAUCACCUGCCCCUGGAUCACCUGCCCCUGGAUCACCCGCCCCUGGCAAUUUGGCCUCUUGAUUGCUCUCUCUGUCUCCUGUGAUGUCCUUUUCAACGCUCUUGAAAUCCACCUUAAUUUCUCCCUCGAUCUCUGUAACAAUUACAAGGUAAUGUUGCUGUUAUAUGUAUUUUGCCUUUGCAUCUACUGUCAUCUCCAAUGUAAUAAAAUGAAUUAAAGCAAAACAUUUCUGUAAUGUGAGUUAAAUCACCUGCCACAAUCAGAAACCAAUACAAUUUAUAAAUGGAUCUACCGGCAAUUGUUAAUUGGGUAGAAAUGUGUCGAUUAUCUACAUUGUGUGCAAAUCCUCAGAGAAUCCCUGCCUUCUGGUUGUUUUUUGUACAAAUAUGAAUUAUGUAAUCUCAUUAGGAGUGUAGUCUAUCC